rnacentral:rRNA from 1 species
UACGGAGGGUGCGAGCGUUAUCCGGAAUUACUGGGUUUAAAGGGUGCGUAGGCGGCUAUGUAAGUCAGGAGUGAAGGUUUGCGGCUCAACCGUAAAAUUGCUUUUGAUACUGCAUGGCUAGAAUCAGGAUGAGGUUAGCGGAAUGUGGCAUGUAGCGGUGAAAUGCAUAGAUAUGCCAUAGAACACCAAUUGCGAAGGCAGCUGGCUAGACCUGCAUUGACGCUGAGGCACGAAAGCGUGGGGAGCGAACAGG